CGCCAGGAAUUUUCCUGGUAGGAUCUGCCCACUGAACUUUAAAUGGCCGCAGUACCCUGACUGUGCUAAGGUAGCAUAAUAAUUUGCCUUUUAAUUAAAGGCUAGCAUGAAUGAUUUGACGAAAGAAGAGCUGUCUCCGCUUAUUUUUAAUAAAUUAACCUAGAAGUUAAAAGGCUUCUAUUCUCUAGAGGGACGACAAGACCCUAUAAAGCUUUAUUUAUCAUAUUUCUAUUUAUUUCAAAAAAAAAUAUAAAUUUAUAAAUUUUAUUGGGGCGAUAGAUAAAAAAACAUUAUUAACCAUAACGUUUUUAACGAAACUUAUAAAAUAUUCUUAAACUAAACAAGUUACUUUAGGGAUAACAGCAUAAUUUCUUUUUAGAGCCCUUAUCGACAAAGAAGAUUAUGACCUCGAUGUUGAAUUGAGCUACUCCUUUUAUGUAGACUUAAAAGGCAGGAGUCUGUUCGACCCUUAA
rnacentral:rRNA from 1 species